CAAACGACUCUCGGCAACGGAUAUCUCGGCUCUCGCAUCG
rnacentral:rRNA from 2 species